AUAACGCAGAGGUGGGGGACAGAGUGGGUGGGGAGGGGAGCCGCCAUACAGUGGCCAGGACCAGCUUUGCCCAAGUGGUGGCAACCGCAUGACCACAGGAACGAUGGCGUGAGCCCCAUGGCAACCUGGAGGAAGGGAAAUAAUCCAGGAUCCGUUUCGUGUGGUCAUCUUGUCUCCCUGGUCCCCUCCAGCCUUUCCUCAUCUUUUGUGACCUGGUCACUCUGGAAGGGUGCUGGCCGGUUAGUCCACAGGAUGGGCCUCCCGUGGGGCUUUUCUGAUGCUUCCUUAUGAUGGCACUGGCAUCCUGAGGGGGAGGACCACAGAGAGGAGGUGCUUCUCAUCACACCACAUGGGGGUCCAUGCACCAGUGCCACUGCUUUCCAGGGCUUUUCACCUUCAUCACUGGUGGAGGUGGCGUCUGCCAAGAAGCAGAAAGUUGAGGCUUAGAAGGUGCACGGCCCUACCUCUUCUGAGGUGCCCCUGCGGGCUGUCUACAGACCAGGCAGCACAUGCCUGAUAGCAGCUGCAUAAGGAAAAGCAGAAGCCAGCUCGUGCACAGUGGCCUCAAGUG
rnacentral:lncRNA from 1 species